UACCACUUACAGAUGGACCCGCGGCGCAUUAGCUAGUUGGUGAGGUAACGGCUCACCAAGGCAACGAUGCGUAGCCGACCUGAGAGGGUGAUCGGCCACACUGGGACUGAGACACGGCCCAGACUCCUACGGGAGGCAGCAGUAGGGAAUCUUCCGCAAUGGACGAAAGUCUGACGGAGCAACGCCGCGUGAGUGAUGAAGGUUUUCGGAUCGUAAAACUCUGUUGUUAGGGAAGAACAAGUACCGUUCGAAUAGGGCGGUACCUUGACGGUACCUAACCAGAAAGCCACGGCUAACUACGUGCCAGCAGCCGCGGUAAUACGUAGGUGGCAAGCGUUGUCCGGAAUUAUUGGGCGUAAAGCGCGCGCAGGCGGUUUCUUAAGUCUGAUGUGAAAGCCCCCGGCUCAACCGGGGAGGGUCAUUGGAAACUGGGGAACUUGAGUGCAGAAGAGGAGAGUGGAAUUCCACGUGUAGCGGUGAAAUGCGUAGAGAUGUGGAGGAACACCAGUGGCGAAGGCGACUCUCUGGUCUGUAACUGACGCUGAGGCGCGAAAGCGUGGGGAGCGAACAGGAUUAGAUACCCUGGUAGUCCACGCCGUAAACGAUGAGUGCUAAGUGUUAGAGGGUUUCCGCCCUUUAGUGCUGCAGCAAACGCAUAA
rnacentral:rRNA from 2 species